rnacentral:rRNA from 1 species
CACGUAGGGGGCAAGCGUUGUCCGGAUUCAUUGGGCGUAAAGAGCUCGUAGGCGGUUCGAUAAGUCGGGUGUGAAACCUCCAGGCUCAACCUGGAGACGCCACCCGAUACUGUCGUGACUAGAGUCCAGUAGGGGAGCGUGGAAUUCCUGGUGUAGCGGUGAAAUGCGCAGAUAUCAGGAGGAACACCGAUGGCGAAGGCAGGUCACUGGGCCGCAACUGACGCUGAGGUGCGAAAGCGUGGGGAGCGAACAGG